rnacentral:misc_RNA from 1 species
GAUGAAGAACGCAGCGAAAUGCGAUAAGUAAUGUGAAUUGCAGAAUUCAGUGAAUCAUCGAAUCUUUGAACGCACAUUGCGCCCGCCAGUAUUCUGGCGGGCAUGCCUGUUCGAGCGUCAUUUCAACCAUCAAGCCCGGCUUGUGUGUUGGGUCUCGUCCCCCUUCCCGGGGGGACGGGCCCGAAAGGCAGCGGCGGCACCGCGUCCGGUCCUCGAGCGUAUGGGGCUUUGUCACCCGCUCUGUAGGCCCGGCCGGCGCUUGCCGAUCAACCAAAACUUUUUUCCAGGUUGACCUCGGAUCAGGUAGGGAUACCCGCUGAACUUAAGCAUAUCAAUAAGCGGAGGA